rnacentral:rRNA from 1 species
AUUGAACGCUAGCGGGAUGCUUUACACAUGCAAGUCGAACGGCAGCGCGGACUUCGGUCUGGCGGCGAGUGGCGAACGGGUGAGUAAUGUAUCGGAACGUGCCCAGUAGCGGGGGAUAACUACGCGAAAGCGUAGCUAAUACCGCAUACGCCCUACGGUGGAAACCAGGGGAUCGUAAGACCUUGCACUAUUUGAGCGGCCGAUAUCGGAUUAGCUAGUUGGUGAGGUAACGGCUCACCAAGGCGACGAUGCGUAGCUGGUUUGAGAGGACGACCAGCCACACUGGGACUGAGACACGGCCCAGACUCCUACGGGAGGAAGCAGUGGGGAAUUUUGGGCAAUGGGGGAAAGCCUGAUACAGCAAUCCCGCGUGUGGGAUGAAGGCCUUCGGGUGGUAAAGCACUGUUGGCAGGAAAGAACCUACGCGGGCUAAUCCCCGGUGGAACUGACGGUACCUGCAGAAUAAGCACCGGCUAACUACGUG